GUUGGAGUCUGCUGGCCAUGCUGUGAGGAGGAAGGGUCAGGAAGCAGCAAGCCAGAAGUGCAGAGAGAAGAAGGAGAGAAAGAGCCAGAGCUGUGUGCAGUGACUCAUGGAAUGUAGCAAAGAUGGGGAAAACAGAAAAGAACAUCAGACCACCAACCAAAGCUUUUCACCUUGUCGCCAUGACCAGGACUGCACUCAAACAGCAUGGCACCCAUAGACAAAGAGCCAGCAAAUGUCUUCCUGGAGACUCUCAUGAGGCAAGAAGACCCAGAUCCACUCUGCAGAGAUGGAAAUGAUCGCUUCCUUCCCUGGGUCCUUGUGGGAGCAGCAGCGGUGUGUGCCUACCCCCACCUCCCAUAAAAGCUGUUGUUUUGGGUUUUUUUUUAAUAAAAGCUGAAAUAAUUUUGGAGCUGGUCUCCCAGCCCAUUCAUAACAGUAUAGUUGGUAUAACUUUCCCUUCAAAAUUUGGGUUAGAGCAGCAGAAUGUGGGCCAUACAUUUUGCUUGCCCCUGCUCCAGUACAGAAGCAGCCUUUGCUCUACAAGUGUGUUUGAAGAGUGUGGCUGCUCCUAGAUUUAUUUAAUAGCCAGAGAACUUCUGUUUUGGGCAGAAUUCUAGGGGAAACCUAGAAUGGGAGCCAUGGGAGGAAGCCAGAAGUGAAAAGGCAUGAAGAAGUUGACAGAAUUUAAUGAAACAAAAUACUUUGGCAUUUAAAAAAGACCCAACACAGUGUAAGCACUUUAAAAUAAAAAUUAAUCUUCAUAGGCAUAGGCUGCUUUGAAAAUUUCACUUAUAGUCUCCAGUUGUAUUUUUUUAAUGUUUUUAUUUGUCCUGAUUUAGCUUUUUUUUAACAGUUUAUGACAACUGAGCACCUAGUAAAUUGUGUCUGUGUAGUCCAGCUCCUCUUGGGAAAAUUGUGAAGUUAAUUUAUCAAGCAAUUAUUCUAUGACCUGAAAUAUUCCAGUAAUACAGCUGGAUAAUGAAUAAAGAAGUAGUGCCAGAGACAGUUAUAAGGCAGGUGAAAUAUGGUUUAUUUUGUGAUUGUGUGGGUUGGUGCAGAAUAUGACAGGUGACAUAAAGAGAAGUUAAGCUCUACCACCACCACACUCCCACCCCAGAUCUACAAAGGCAAACAUCGUAUUGUCUAUGCUAGCAAGGGUUCUGAGAACUUCUUUAAACAGAGAACGGAGUGGAAGAGUGAUUCCUCUAGAUAAUUUCUGACCAAUUGGCAGAGUUGAAAUUGGCUUUGCAGCAGAAAUAUAAUUUACAAAAUCUUGAAAGCAAGUAUUUGCAGUGCUUCAGGCAAUUAUACAGGUUUCCCAAAUAAACUGUAGUAUUUCCUCAAUUCACUCUCUUCCAGAAGACUCUUUCCCUGCCUCUUUUGUGUUGAGCUUAUGGUCUUUACUUCUCCUGCUUCAGAUAAACCAGAGGAAGGAUGCAUUUGCACGAGGCACUGUACUUU